ACAAGGUGUUGAUAUGUGGAAGUAGUUACCUCAGGUCAAGUGUUCCUGCAGCCAGGCUGCAAGUACUCACUUCAAUGGAAAGCUCUGAGGUCCCUGCCAGCCCCUCUGGUCUACAGAUGUCUCGGGAUGCAGCCCCACCCUUUCUUAGUCACAGCAGUGGGAUUUGCAAAUGAGCAACACACCAGAGUUGUAACCAACCUUAAGGUGGACUUCAGCAAAAGAAUGGAGCAAUCACUGGGUGCCAGUAACACUAUGCUACGAUGUGCAGAGAGGGAAAUGAAGGCUAGCUCAUCCGAAGGAAACUACAGGGGAAUUUUAGAUCAGCAGAAUGCAAUUAUCCAAGUUGGAAUUGUUCCAGAACACCAAAGAGAACUCUAAAGAGUCAGGGUCUCUUUAUGUUGCCCAGACUAGUCUUCAACUCCUUGCCUCAAGUGAAUCCUCCUGACCUGGCCUCUGUAAGUGCUGAAAUUACGGGCUUGAGCUGCCAUGCCUGACCAAGCUCAGUACUCUUUUCAUGAUUCUAUCUAAGCUAGAAGGUAAGGAUUAAUUUUUUUUGUUAUUUCUAGGGCCCAGGCCAGAAUAUCACUGACAUAUGGAAGAUGCUCAAACAGGGAGAGAGGGAGAGA